rnacentral:rRNA from 1 species
UGGGGAAUCUUAGACAAUGGGGAAACCCUGAUCUAGCCAUGCCGCGUGAGCGAUGAAGGCCUUAGGGUUGUAAAGCUCUUUUCAGCUGGGAAGAUAAUGACGGUACCAGCAGAAGAAGCCCCGGCUAACUCCGUGCCAGCAGCCGCGGUAAUACGGAGGGGCUAGCGUUGUUCGGAAUUACUGGGCGUAAAGCGCACGUAGGCGGAUUAGUCAGUCAGAGGUGAAAUCCCAGGGCUCAACCCUGGAACUGCCUUUGAUACUGCUAGUCUUGAGGUCGAGAGAGGUGAGUGGAAUUCCGAGUGUAGAGGUGAAAUUCGUAGAUAUUCGGAGGAACACCAGUGGCGAAGGCGGCUCACUGGCUCGAUACUGACGCUGAGGUGCGAAAGCGU